CUAUGUUUAUGACAUUAAUGGGAAGAAGUAUCUCGAUUCUCUUGCUGGUCUUUGGUGCACUGCCUUAGGAGGAAAUGAACAGAAGCUUGUGGCUGCUGCAACAACCCAAUUGAACAAGUUGCCAUUUUACCACUCUUUUUGGAAUCGUACUACAAAACCUUCGUUGGAUCUUGCAAAGGAACUUCUAGAAACUUUUACCGCAGCAAAAAUGGCAAAAGCCUUCUUUACCAAUAGUGGAUCAG
rnacentral:misc_RNA from 1 species